GGACCUUUUUAAGAACAGAAUGCUCUGGUGUAUUUCAAAAUGGUUCCCCCUUUUCCCCUUGUAGUAUGCAGGAGGGCGUGUUUUUUUUUUCCCCCUCCAAUGUCCGUUUCCAGAACUGGAUACAAGUCUAGGAGGUAAACCCACUAAAGUGUGGGUUCCUUCCACUGUGAGUGAUUCCCCUGGAUUUUCACUCAAAGGGUUGUCCACACCAAGCCUCCAACAAUUUUUCAGUUACGGUUCUUGUUUCCCUACCUUGAAACCGGUUUCUGCAGACAUUUUGGUGUGUGAGUUUCUGCUCUGCAUGUCUUUCUAUGAUGUCUGCUUCCAUUGCCUGCGAUCGGAACUGCUAAUCAGCAAUUGCUGGGAUCUCCUAUUGACAUUGAGGCCUUGAAAUUGUCCACAGUAUAAAUGCACUAUGGAAUCACAAAUGUUGGUCACUAGUAGGAUGGGUCCUCCUGAUGAGGUGGUGGAAGAAUGACUGGAAGAGCUGGAGCCAGUUCCUCAGCCCCUCAGGAGAAGUACAGGAAAAAAAUGCUCAACACUGUUGAUCAUUAAGAAAAUGCAAAUCAAAGCCACAAUGAGACGUCACUUCACAAUCACUGAAAUGAUUAUAAUGGAAAAGACAAUAAGUGUUGCUGAGGUUAUGAAGAAAUUGGGACCUUCUUGCAUUGUUGACUGGGAUGUAAAAGGAUGCAGUGACUUUGGCAAAUAGUUGGGCACUUCCAUAAAUGUUAGUAUACUGUAUACCGUAUGAGCUAGCAAUUCUCCUGGGUAUGUACUCAAGAGAAAUAAAAAAAUACAUGUCUACAUAAAAGCUUGUACGUGAAUGGUCAUAGCUCCCAUUAUUCAUAAGGGGAAAAACUCUAAUGUUCACCAACUGGUGAAUGGAUUUUAAAAUGUAGUAUAUCCUUACAAUGGAACAUUACUCAGACAUAGACAAAGAAGAAUGAAGUACAGGUACAUGCAACAACACAAUUGAACUUUGAAAAUAUUAUUCUAAGUGAACAAAGCUAGUCACAAAAGACUAUAAUAGUGAGAUUGUCUCUUCUGGACCUUCCCUAUAAAUCGAUCUAUAGAGCAGAAGAUAGAUGAGUGUUUGCUCCAGGCUUGAGGUGGUGUAAGGUGUUUGGGAGCAACUGAUAAUGGGUGCAGAAUUUCUUUGGGGGAUGAUGAAAAUGUUGUAAAAAUUAGAUUGUGGUGAUAGUUGCACAAAUCUGAGAAUAUGUUAAACAUAAUUGAAUUGUCAGCUUUAAAUGGGUGAAUUUUUUGGCAUGUGAAUUGUAUCUCAACAAGCCUGUUUUGAAAAGCGUAAUAAUCAAAGUAUGCCAGAGAAAUCUGAAUUAAGACCUCAAAUUCUAGUAUUUCUAAGCAGAAACUUAGGGAAUAUGAGGAGGCCAGAGAUUUAAGUGCUUUGAGGAAUAUGUCAUAGACUGAUCAAUGUAAUUAUCUGAGACUUAAUAAUGCUGUUUUAUUAGAACACAAAAAGUCCCUGUUCACAUUGACUGGUUGGAUUCCAGAGGUCAAAAAACAUGAAUUUGCUGGAGUGCUGGAGGAAUCUCAUGAGCAGAGAAAGUUUUGUUAGCUUGGGCAUUGAGGGAUAUCAGAUUGUUGGGGAGUUGAUGGAAUGAGGUAAAAGAUUUAAAAUUCAGGGCACCUGAGUGGCACACUUGGUUAAGCUUCUGACUUCAGCUCAGGGCAUGAUCUCAUUGUUCAUGGGUUCGAGCCCCGCAUCAGCCUCUGUGCCAACAGCUU